rnacentral:tRNA from 1 species
UUAUAGUCUAAAUAAUGAUAUAAAAUUGCAAAUUUUAUGGUGUAUUUACAUAUACUAAGGCUU